GGAGUCCCUCCUCUAAAACCACUCUGUGUGGGGAACAUGAGAGCCAGACCAAAGCUCAGAGGAACCCACCUGGACCUCCACCCAGCUCUGUGUCCUUACAGAGUGACCGGUCUAAAAGUGAACCCAUUAAUUUUAAAGUCCAGCCUGUGUCUGCUGCAGAGAGAGGUCAGAGGUCACAGUCUGCAGGGUCCAGCUGUCCGUCUGUGAGGAGUGACCGGUCC